UACGUAGGGUGCGAGCGUUGCCCGGAUUUAUUGGGCGUAAAGGGCGCGUAGGCGGCCACGCACGUCCGUUGUGAAAUCGCCCGGCUCAACUGGGCGGGGUCAGCGGAUACGGUGUGGCUCGAGCAAGCUAGGGGGCAAUGGAAUUCCCGGUGUAGUGGUGGAAUGCGUAGAUAUCGGGAGGAACACCAGUGGCGAAGGCGGUUGCCUGGAGCUUUGCUGACGCUGAGGCGCGAAAGCGCGGGGAGCGAACGGG
rnacentral:rRNA from 1 species